AUUAAAAUUAAUAUUAUUAAGACAGUAAAAAGAAAACAUCACACAUGUUAUUAACACUCCAGACAAUUUUUAGUACACACCAAACACAAAUACAUUAAUAUAGACAAUAUACAAAUGCAAUUAAAUACAAAUUAAUAUACAAAUGCAGACCGCAAAGGAUUAAUUUCAUAAUUGCAAAGAAUGCAAUAUUCCAUUUAUAAACAGUUAUUAUACACACCUAUACUCCUGUUAUUCGUAAACAAUUCCAAAUCCCGUUAUGAUGAUAUAAAUCCCUUAUUUUACGCUACAACAGUACAAAAGAAACACAGACACAUCUAAACAACAACAGUCCGAAUUUACUAUUCCAUUCAUUCGCGACCGUUAAAUUAAAAUGUAUACACUUUCACUGACACUCGAAUAAAAUAGUUACAGAGUUAGAAAUAUCGAUGUUGAACUUGUUCUUGUUCGUACACAAUCGAAGGGGAGAACCGUUGGUAGAUUUACGUGGACGCAGAGACGUUUAUUGGCUACAGAUCCUGCAACGCUGAGAUAAAUUCCCUAUUUAGUGUUGUAGUCGAAACACGGAAGAAAAGAAAUGUAUCUAAACAGCAAAAACUGAAUUUCGAACAUUCCACAACACAAGACAUUGCAUAAAUAUAACAAAUUCUCAUAUUUUUUUAUGUUCUUAGCAUUUUGAAAUUAUGGCCAAUAUUCCUGAAAUGUGUAAACGUUAAAUUGUGUACAAUUGACGUAUUAACGUAAAUAUCAAAAUUCAGAAUGAAACCUGAACUUAAUAUACCAACCUUAUAUAUUAUCUCCAUUUUGGUGUCAAUCGAGUUUCAUAAGUAAACAAAUUCAUUAUAUCUCCAUUUGCUUCAUUUUACAUUCGCAAGAUUCGUUUAUAAAGGUUAGAAAAUGAAAUGCAUCGCGGAAAAGAACUUCCAGAGAGAGAAAAACCACGAUGAUUUUCGCAUUGUUACGGUUAUAUCGCGAAACAAAUAGGUCGUUAAAAACGUACAAUUGCCAAUUAUGUUAGUAAAAGAUGUAAUCACGAGAAGAAGCGUUCAGGCUACCCUCCGAAAGUGUCCCCUCGAAAUAAACGUAAAAUUCUACGAUUAUAACUCGGCAAUGUAAAUUGGUUCAAGUGCGAGAUUAUUGCAAAUUAAAUGUUGCGAAAACCAUCCGUGGAAUUAUUGUUGGGUUUCGAAAUGAAUUCCAUGACUUUCCUUUAAUUUAACAAUUUAUUAGCUACUUAUACACGUCUUUAUUCUUCGGGUUUCAAAUAUAUUCUAUUCGCCACGUGUCAACCGUCGCGGAUCGGCAAUCUUGCGCCGAAAAUUGUCGAAGAUUGCCGAAUCGUUCCGAUUGCCUCCGAACAUCCUAGCGGAGAUAUGCAGUCUUUCUCUAAUGUUUCUUUUCAACAAUUAUUAUAACAUCUCUGCACACUGUUAACGCGAAAAUGAUAUCGACAUAUAAAACAAAGAUAAAUCAACGAAACUUUCAUUCUCUGAAGUAAACACGAGUACGGAUUGGAAAAAUGUUAUAUUUAGUGUGGAGGAAAAAUUCAAUCUAGGUAGGCCAGAUGUUUUAAUUCGUAUUGACACGAUAUACAAGAAGAUGUGAAAUAUUUUUCGUAACACAACUUUAGCUCGGUUACGAUUUAUUUCCCGGCGCUCAUGCGUCGUAAAUUGUCGACAAUUACCGAAUUGUUCCGAUUGUCUCGAGAGACGUCCUAUGGCAAAUACGAUUCGAUAAACAAUGAUAAAUCUGCGAGACUUCUAUUUGCUGAAGCCAAUACGCCUACGGAUUGAAAAAAUAUUUAGUGUCGAGAAACAAUUCAAUCUACGUGAACCAGAUGUUUUAAUUCGUAUUGACACGCUAGAUGAUGAACACGAUGUCGAACACGAGAAGAUGUGAAAUAUUUUUCGUAACACAACUCUGUUAUGAUUUAUUUCGGUUCUUGGAAAAAAUUUCAUAUCAUUUAUUUUCCGCAACAUGAACAAUAAUAAUGAUACGCUAGAAAAUUAUUUAAAGCCCUAUUGUAGAGAAUACCACAGUGAAAAUUCAAUUUUCAUGCAGGAUAAUGCAUCGGGUCAUUUUGCACGUUCAUUAAGGGAGUUUGCCGAAAAUAACAUUCCGUUAUUAGAUUGACCUGCACGUUCCUGUAGCGUUAUCCUAUUAAAACUUCACGGGAAUAUCGAUAUAAUUUUUUAAAAUAAUCGUACAUAUUCUAAUGUGGAUAAAUUAAAAUUUGUUACAGUUGACACAUGGAAUAAUGAAGAAGAAAAUAUAGUAAAAAAUGUUACUGGUAAUAUGCCAAAUUUUCGUCACGUGACGAUGAGAACAUGGAAAAUAAUAGGAAGUUUACAGGAGAGAACCUAUUUCACAAUUACGUGGACGCAUAGACUGGUUCAGAUUCUAUAGACAGUACCGUUGGGAGAUUACGUGGACGCUGAGACGCAGCAACAUUUACUGGCUUCUGCGUGUUCGAGUGCCCUUCUGCGCGUACUUUUUUCGUUCAGCAGCGAAGAAAGUGCUAUUUCUGCUGGCGGGGAAAACCACUUCCCCGGGAGAUAUGCAAGGGAAUGGUAAUGGAAGCUGAAAGAAGUCGCGCGAGAGCUGACGUUACAAGAAAUUGCGUGCUUGUGUAGCUAAGCUUCCUCCGGAAAUAGGAGAAAUAACUGGAUGCUGAGAUUACGGGUAAAUUUUCGCUGCGCGGAAUUUCCUUUCGAAUCGAGCUACUUAUUCGCUUCGAAUAAUAAUAUUGGGUUAAACGUUCUCGGAAGUCAAUACAUUCAGUGACAAAAGUAUAGAACACGGUACAAAAUCAUACAAAUCUGUGUUAAUUUUUAAACUUAAGCUUUUCUUGUGUUGUGCUGUUUUUCUUUGGUGUGUCAUUAAGUUAGUGAACUCAAUAAGUGUUAUAUGAAUAAUUGUUUUUUACUAUUUCAAAAUAAAGAAUACCUUCAUUUAGAAAAAGUAAUAAUGAUUACAUUUAUAAAAAUAAUAAAAAAGAUAACAUUUAUUACAAUGAUAUAAUAAUGACAAUUAUAAAAAUAAUAAUUUAGGGAAACAUACACUAUUUUCUGAAAGUAUUAAAAACAAUUUAACAGUGAAAUUGUUGUAUGUAACUGUGUGAAUGCAUUUCUUGUAUUGAAUAUAAAUAUUUGUCGUUGAAUGUAAAUGUGUGGUUAAAAGGAAACAAAAGGCGUUUCUUGAAAACAAGAUGGCGCGAGUCUGCAAAUCAACAUGGCGUCGGUUCAUUCAUAAAACUGUGGCUCACAAUUACUUUUUGAAGAAAUGAGGCAAAUCUGAGUAACUUAAAAUGAAAAACUAUAAAUUUAACCCUAUAAUCUGUGAUAAAAUUAUAAGAUAUUGUGAAAGUGUUUAUUUUUGUAAAAAAUGAAGGUAAAAAUGGUAUUUGAAUUACUUGUUAGUAAUGUGGCGCCAUUGUUAAUGUUAUAUAACUUGUGACAUUUUAUAACGUUUUGGAAGAGAUUUGAAUGACUUUUCUUGCUUUCUAUUCUU
rnacentral:misc_RNA from 1 species